ACAGGCACGGCCAGUUUGAGCAUUUUCACUGAAUUGCCAAACCAGUUGUGCCUGUAGA
ensembl:miRNA